CUGAAAGUGCCAACUGUCCACUUGGGCACGUUUCCACAUUUCACGGGUGGGGCCGUGAGGGUCCUUUUAUCCCUCCAAAUGUGCUCUGCGUUCUUCUCUGUCUCCCUCUCCAUCCCUGGAGGCUGACCAUUGUGGACCACAUCAACUGAAGGCAGGCCCUUGGGCUUCGGGUUCGGUCCCAUCUAAAGUGGCCCCGCAGUGAACCCUGGCAGGAGCUGGAGGGAGGGAGAGAGAGAGGGGUGGGAGGUUAGGGUAUUUGUUUCCCCAAACCCAUCCCCAUGAGAUCACCUCAGGCUGGCCCUGUUCCCGUACUGAGGGUUGCAGCUCAUCUCGAGGUGACCUGAAUUGGGUAUCUCUGCAGUUUACACUCAGUGAACAUGCCGACCUUCCAUAAAUCAUUGCAUGUCACUGACUUCAUUUCUUCAAGGAAUUCCUCACAAGUCGGGGCCAUGCCCUUUGUAUGUUGGCCACUAGCUCCUCAAACAGCUGGUCCUUCGCCACUUCAAGGCCUUCAACCUCUUGGUCUGUCUGGGGAACACUCGACCUAUGGGUGGCUCCAGCUCUCCGUUCCUGUCUCUCCAUCCUCAGCCAGACCUUUCCAGGCUGCCCAUUUAAAUUAGCCCACCACCGUUCCCAGUCCAGCCACUGCAUCAUUGGGUCAUUUUCUUCAUAGCUCUUUAUCACGCUCUGUGGCAAUCUUGCUCAUAUACCUGUCUGCUUUUUGGCUGUCUCUCUUCCUCCUGGAGGGCAUGCCCCUCUUUACAAGGUUUCUUUGAUUGGCUUCUCUAAAUACAGUGCUCAAGAUAGUGGAGGAGUGUGCAGAGGUGCCCAAUAAAUGUUGAGUGAAUGAAAUGAGGACUUAGCUAUAGGAAUGACAAGCUCACAUUGAUGUUUGAGAAUCAAUCACUGUUUCUCCAGGGUGGAAAAUGGAAGAUUGGAGGCAUGGUUAGAAGGAAGAGAGGUCAGUUAGAAUGCUGGUGUGGGAUAGAAUGAAGAGAUGGAAAGAACAGGGGGGUAUUUGUGACAUACUGUGGUAGGCAGAGUUCUAACGAUGACCCUCACCCUCGUAUAAUCCCUUCCGCACUGAGCGUGGCUGGAACCUAUUACAUGACCAUAUAUCACUUCCUUACUUAUGUUACCUUAUUGGCAAAACAGAGAUUGUUGGGGUGGAGUAGGUUUAAUCUAAGCACAAGAGCCCUUUAAAAGCAGAGAGAUUUUUCCAGCUGGUCGCAGAAGGGGAAAUCAGAGAGAUUUGAUGUACAAGGAGGACUCAAGGUAACAGCUCAGCCUAGCAGAGACCUCAGUUUUUGCUUCAUGAGGCCUUCAGCAGAGAACCUAGCCAUGCCAUGCUGCACUUCUGACUCACACAUCUGCGAGGUAAUCAAUGGGUGUUGUUUUAAGCUGUUGUUAUGUAGCAGUAGCUAACAAAUAUAGCUAUGGAGCUAAUAGAAUUGGCCACGCUUGGAGGUGUGGUGGAACAGGGAAAGAGGGGGAGACAAGUGGGUUGUGCUUUCUCCCACCAAGGUAUCCCACACAUGUUCUGCUGCGGUGGAGGACUGUUGUGGGAGUCUCACAGCCCCCACUUCCCUUUCAUGGUGACCCAGGCCUUGUCACCACGGAGUUGGUGGUGGGCCCUUCCCAGAUGGGCAUGGCACAGCUCCUGGCUCUCUCCAGGCAUCACCAGUGCACAAAUGUUCCUCCUGAUACUUGGAGACACAUUUUCCUCCUUAAAGCCCCUGUGUCCUGGAGGAUGACAGUGUCACAGUGAAACAAAACAAGGCUGGGGCUUGGAGAUAUCUGGACUGGAGGUCCGACUGCAUCAUUUAGCGUGAUCUUGGGCACAUUCCUAACUCUGAGCCUCAGUGUACUUAUUCAUAAACUGGGGCUACGAAUGCAUAUUGUGUGUGCUUGCUCAAAGAAUGAACUGAGUUAGGAAUGUAAAACCCAUUGUCCUGUGCUUGACACAUAGCAAGCCCUCGAUAAAGGGAGGUUAUGAAACAAAGAAAGAAGAACUUGCAGCAGUUGAUGUAGAUAUGUAUUAGUUUGCUGGGGCUGCCAUAACAAAGCACCAGAAACUGGAUGGCUUAAACAAUAGGCAUCUAUUUCCUCACAGUUUUGGAGGCUGGAAGUCCAAGAUCAAGCUGUUGGCAGGGUUGGUUUCUUCUGAGGCCUCUCUCCUUGGCCUGUAGACAGUGUCUCUCCCCUGUGUCCUCACAUGGUCAUCCCUCUCUGUGUGUCUGUGUCGUCAUCUCUAUGGUAUAAGGACACCAGUCCUAUUGGAUUGGGGCCCACCCAAAUACCUCACUUUAAUUACCUCUUUAAAGACCCUAUCUCUAAAUACAGUCACAUUCUGAGGUCCUAGGGGUUAGGACUUCAACGUAUGAAUUUGAGGGGACACAAUUAAGC
ensembl:lncRNA